AUGGCCUUAGUUAGGAGGUAUGGCAAGCCAGACAUCUUCCUCACAAUGACAUGCAACCCAAACUGGGAUGAGAUUAGGCAAGAGCUCUACCCUGGCCAGACACCUCAAGAUCGUCCAGAUCUCGUCGUUCGUGUUUUCAGGGCUAAGUUGGAGGAACUCAAAAAUAAGCUACUUAAAAAGGAUAUCUUGGGCAAGGUGAGGGCUUAUGUGUAUGUGGUGGAGUUCCAAAAGAGGGGUCUGCCUCAUGCGCAUUUCCUGCUCAUCAUGGAGGGCCGAUACAAGCUCACGUGCCCCGAGCAGUAUGAUCGCCUUAUCUCAGCCGAGCUCCCCAACAAGAAGAAGUACCCAGAACUGUACAAGUUGGUCGUGAAACAUAUGAUGCAUGGACCUUGUGGUGCUUUGAAUCCUGAAUGCCCAUGCACAAAGGGUCAUCUUUCUUGUAAGAAUCACUAUCCGCGACCUUUCAACGCGACUACCUUACAAGGCAAGGACUCCUGCCCGCUCUACAGACGACGUGAAGACAGAUGUAAAGCAAUGGUUCGAAAGGAAUGGCUAGAUAAUAGGUGGGUCGUCCCAUACAACCCACACCUCUUGCGCUACUUCAACUGUCACAUCAAUGUUGAGGCAUGCGGCAGCAUAAAAGCCGUUAAAUACUUGUUCAAGUACAUAUAA
rnacentral:rRNA from 1 species